rnacentral:rRNA from 1 species
AUUGAACGCUCGCGGGAUGCUUUACACAUGCAAGUCGAACGGCAGCACGAAAAGAGCUUGCUCUUUUUGGUGGCGAGUGGCGAACGGGUGAGUAAUGUAUCGGAACGUACCCAGUAGCGGGGGAUAACUACGCGAAAGCGUGGCUAAUACCGCAUACGCCCUACGGGGGAAAGGGGGGGAUCGCAAGACCUCUCACUAUUGGAGCGGCCGAUAUCGGAUUAGCUAGUUGGUGGGGUAAAGGCUCACCAAGGCAACGAUCCGUAGCUGGUUUGAGAGGACGACCAGCCACACUGGGACUGAGACACGGCCCAGACUCCUACGGGAGGCAGCAGUGGGGAAUUUUGGACAAUGGGGGAAACCCUGAUCCAGCCAUCCCGCGUGUGCGAUGAAGGCCUUCGGGUUGUAAAGCACUUUUGGCAGGGAAGAAACGGCGCUGACUAAUACGUGGCGCAACUGACGGUACCUGCAGAAUAAGCACCGGCUAACUACGUG